rnacentral:rRNA from 1 species
UUGACCUCGGAUCAGGUAGGGAUACCCGCUGAACUUAAGCAUAUCAAUAAGCGGAGGAAAAGAAACCAACAGGGAUUGCCCUAGUAACGGCGAGUGAAGCGGCAACAGCUCAAAUUUGAAAUCUGGCUCUUUCAGAGUCCGAGUUGUAAUUUGCAGAGGGCGCUUUGGCUUUGGCAGCGGUCCAAGUUCCUUGGAACAGGACGUCACAGAGGGUGAGAAUCCCGUACGUGGUCGCUAGCUAUUGCCGUGUAAAGCCCCUUCGACGAGUCGAGUUGUUUGGGAAUGCAGCUCUAAAUGGGAGGUAAAUUUCUUCUAAAGCUAAAUAUUGGCCAGAGACCGAUAGCGCACAAGUAGAGUGAUCGAAAGAUGAAAAGCACUUUGGAAAGAGAGUCAAACAGCACGUGAAAUUGUUGAAAGGGAAGCGCUUGCAGCCAGACUUGCUUGCAGUUGCUCAUCCGGGCUUUUGCCCGGUGCACUCUUCUGUAGGCAGGCCAGCAUCAGUUUGGGCGGUGGGAUAAAGGUCUCUGUCACGUACCUCUCUUCGGGGAGGCCUUAUAGGGGAGACGACAUACCACCAGCCUAGACUGAGGUCCGC